UGAGUAAAACAGGUAAUCGCAGCUGCAGGUGCCGAAAGGUCGCAGAUGAGGAAAGUCCGGGCUUCAUAGGGCAGGAUGCCGGAUAACGUCCGGUGGAGGUGACUCCAAGGCCAGUGCAACAGAAAUAUACCGCCGCUUUAUGCGGUAAGGGUGGAAGGGCAGUGUAAGAGACUACCGCCUUGCUGGUAACAGCAGGGGCAUAUGUAAACCCCAUUCGAAGCAAGACCAAAACUAGACCUAUGGCGGCCCGUCAGUCUCAGGUAGGUCGCUUGAACCUGCUGGUAACAGCAGGUCUAGAUAGAU
rnacentral:RNase_P_RNA from 1 species